UGCCAGCCGCCGCGGUAAUACGGAGGGUGCGAGCGUUAUCCGGAAUUAUCGGGUUUAAAGGGUGCGUAGGCGGAAAUUUAAAUCAGUGGUGAAAGCCUGCAGCUUAACUGCAGAAUUGCCAUCGAUACUGGAUUUCUUGAAUCUAAUAGAAGUAGGCGGAAUAUGACAUGUAGCGGUGAAAUGCUUAGAUAUGUCAUAGAACGCCGAUAGCGAAGGCAGCUUACUAUGUUAGUAUUGACGCUAAUGCACGAAAGCGUGGGGAGCGAACAGGAUUAGAUA
rnacentral:rRNA from 1 species